CCGUAGCUCAGUGGAACAGAGCGUCUGCCUUCUAAGCAGAGGGUCGGGGGUUCGAGUCCCUCCGGGC
rnacentral:tRNA from 1 species